rnacentral:rRNA from 1 species
GACGAACGCUGGCGGCGUGCUUAACACAUGCAAGUCGAACGGAAAGGCCCUGCUUUUGUGGGGUACUCGAGUGGCGAACGGGUGAGUAACACGUGAGUAACCUGCCCUUGACUUUGGGAUAACUUCAGGAAACUGGGGCUAAUACCGGAUAGGAGCUCCUGCUGCAUGGUGGGGGUUGGAAAGUUUCGGCGGUUGGGGAUGGACUCGCGGCUUAUCCGCUUGUUGGUGGGGUAGGGGCUUACCAAGGCUUUGACGGGUAGCCGGCCUGAGAGGGUGACCGGCCACAUUGGUACUGAGAUACGGCCCAGACUCCUACGGGAGGCAGCAGUGGGGAAUAUUGCACAAUGGGCGGAAGCCUGAUGCAGCAACGCCGCGUGCGGGAUGACGGCCUUCGGGUUGUAAACCGCUUUCGCCUGUGACGAAGCGUGAGUGACGGUAAUGGGUAAAGAAGCACCGGCUAACUACGUG